GACGAACGCUGGCGGCGUGCCUAAUACAUGCAAGUCGAACGCUUUUUCUUUCACCGGAGCUUGCUCCACCGAAAGGAAAAGAGUGGCGAACGGGUGUGUAACACGUGGGUAACCUGCCCAUCAGAAGGGGAUAACACUUGGAAACAGGUGCUAAUACCGUAUAACACUAUUUUCCGCAUGGAAGAAAGUUGAAAGGCGCUUUUGCGUCACUGAUGGAUGGACCCGCGGUGCAUUAGCUAGUUGGUGAGGUAACGGCUCACCAAGGCAACGAUGCAUAGCCGACCUGAGAGGGUGAUCGGCCACACUGGGACUGAGACACGGCCCAGACUCCUACGGGAGGCAGCAGUAGGGAAUCUUCGGCAAUGGACGAAAGUCUGACCGAGCAACGCCGCGUGAGUGAAGAAGGUUUUCGGAUCGUAAAACUCUGUUGUUAGAGAGGAACAAGGAUGAGAGUAAAAUGUUCAUCCCUUGACGGUAUCUAACCAGAAAGCCACGGCUAACUACGUGCCAGCCGCCGCCGUAA
rnacentral:rRNA from 1 species